UGCAGGUAGAAGCCUUUAGUAUACUAUAAUAAAACGUGCUCAAGACGGACAUUUUGUAUUAUAUAUAGUAUAAAUAAGAAACAUCAGUUUGGGGAAAACAUGGUGAGCAGAGGUAGAAAACUCGGACAUGAAGAUGACUUUUGGGGCACCACCAGCAGAUGCCUGUGGCUGAAGCAGAAGAUAGAUGCAUUCUCAAAGUUUCAGCCUGCUCACAGAUUGGCCACUGCACAUUUCGUGUAUCUAUUUAAUAUUGCCUGGAAAUCUCCAAAGGUUUUACCGAACACCACUUGUUUACUUUGUACCUUGUUUACUUUGCCCAAGUGACAAGUGAGAAACAGGAUUAACCACUUGAGCUCCCCCAAAAAUCGCGUGCCAUGCCAACAGGAAGGAGCUGGUCUGAAGAGGCUUCCUCCCCCAUCUACGUCACUUGCAACACACUCCUGGAGUGGGGUUCUCAUCUAAUUUGAGCAAGGAGACUCUCAGCCCUUGCUACACUAACUAAAACAGGAGUGUCACGCAUGGUCCCUGGUCUCCAACUGCAGUCCAGGUUGUGGAUAGUUAAUGACAGCCAUAAAUGGUCGAGCACAUAUGCCUUAGUCUAAAGAUACUUUCAGACAUGAACAACAUCACUGCAGCCAGGGGAAGACUCCAGGAGGAUGUGGGACUUGUGCCUGGCACUGAGGGGAAAUAAUAUUCAAAACAGCAGAAAAAGUUUUCUUUUGUCUUUAAAUUCGUCAAUUUAAAAAACUGUCUAUAAAAAAACAGUUACAAUAGAAAUUUUCCAGUUGCAUGUGUUGUUGGCAAAUCUGUGUGGAUAAGCUGGUAUAUUAAGCUCUCUAGAUGUGUUAGUUAUACAAUCUAUGAAGACUGGAACUAGG
rnacentral:lncRNA from 1 species